GGAGCAAACAGGAUUAGAUACCCUGGUAGUCCACGCCCUAAACGAUGUCAACUGGUUGUUGGGGGAGUGAAAUCCCUUAGUAACGAAGCUAACGCGUGAAGUUGACCGCCUGGGGAGUACGGUCGCAAGAUUAAAACUCAAAGGAAUUGACGGGGACCCGCACAAGCGGUGGAUGAUGUGGAUUAAUUCGAUGCAACGCGAAAAACCUUACCUACCCUUGACAUGUCCGGAAUCCUGCAGAGAUGCGGGAGUGCCCGAAAGGGAAUCGGAACACAGGUGCUGCAUGGCUGUCGUCAGCUCGUGUCGUGAGAUGUUGGGUUAAGUCCCGCAACGAGCGCAACCCUUAUCAUUAGUUGCUACGCAAGGGCACUCUAAUGAGACUGCCGGUGACAAACCGGAGGAAGGUGGGGAUGACGUCAAGUCCUCAUGGCCCUUAUGGGUAGGGCUUCACACGUCAUACAAUGGUCGGUACAGAGGGUUGCCAAGCCGCGAGGUGGAGCCAAUCCCAGAAAGCCGAUCGUAGUCCGGAUUGUUCUCUGCAACUCGAGAGCAUGAAGUCGGAAUCGCUAGUAAUCGCGGAUCAGCAUGUCGCGGUGAAUACGUUCCCGGGUCUUGUACACACCGCCCGUCACACACCAUAGAGUUGGCA
rnacentral:rRNA from 1 species